GACAGAGGGUGCAAACGUUGUUCGGAUUUACUGGGCGUAAAGAGCUCGUAGGCGGCUUGUCACGUCGGGUGUGAAAGACCGGGGCUUAACCCCGGUUCUGCAUUCGAUACGGGCUGGCUAGAGUGUGGUAGGGGAGAUCGGAAUUCCUGGUGUAGCGGUGAAAUGCGCAGAUAUCAGGAGGAACACCAAUGGCGAAGGCAGCACUCUGGGACGUGACUGACGCUGAGACGCGAAAGCGUGGGGAGCAAACAGG
rnacentral:rRNA from 1 species